rnacentral:lncRNA from 10 species
CGGGCACCUUGGCCGGCAGCCCAGACCCAUCCUCCCGUCUGAGACGGAAACCAGGAUCUUCCAUCACCCACACUCCUGACCCUGCUCCCUCUACAGCCCCUCAAGUCCAGGUGAGUGAAGCCGCCUGGGGCAGGGCAGGGGACAGACGGGCCAGGAUGAGAUGAAGCGGCUUCCGAAAUCAGGUUCGACAUCGCACCCACCAGUUUCAUUGCAGGCCUGGCUAAAAGCUGCCCCCUAGAUAUUCCGUCCAAUUAUUUAAAUCCCAGCCUCUCCACUCACUAUAAAGAUUGGACAGGAUUGGACAUUUAUUAGCUAACUGAAUGGCUGUAAUAAGAUAGGAAAUCCAAAGGAGCAGAAAAUUAAAUGUUCCUGAGUUAUCUUAUUGAAAUUUCCCUUCCAUGGCUUUUAUUGGAGGCGACAGUGCCAGAAUUUCAAAGACGCAUUUUAAGAGACUCCUUUAUGGGGUUCCCCAGCAAACGCUGAAGCCAUCAACGUGAAACCAGCCAGUGAGUGUCGGGAUGGACGGCCCGGGGCCGGGCAGAAACUCCAGCUCAGCUGUGUGGCUCUGCAGGCAGCAGAUCGGCCCCCACUGCACCGUCUCCAGAGAACCAGAGCAAACGCCCAUGUGCCCCGUUGACAGUACCGCGGAUGAAGACACUGCAUUGUACCAGGAGAGUUCACUGUUUUAUUCAUUGAAUUUUGAUUACGUGUUAUCCUAAGGAGAUACACUGAUUUCAUAAGCAAGGCAGGAAGAAUAAACCGCAGGAGGAAGCUGCUGUCAUUUCUCAGGCCCGGCUUCGUUUCAGGAAACAAGGGUUCUGCUCAAGCACAAGCACCGUUCCUGAAGUAGAUGCAUGGAAGUCAUUAGGGGAGAUGUCUGCAGCCCCUGAGAUGGAAGAAGCCUGUCGGGAGCGGCCGCCGGGCUGAGGAGGGGCCUGGCCGCAGGCUGUGGGACUGUUUGAGGCCCUAUGCAAAGGCAAUGCUCCCCCUUGGAACAGGGCUUCUCGUGGGUGGGCGGGUGGUCCCUGCCAGGCUCCUGCGCCCCCCACCCACCCUUUCCAGGAAACUUGGCCCUAUCCGUCAUGACUGUUCCACAUCCCCCGCAGACCAUGUGCUAUGAAAGAUUUGAGCCCAGGUGUUCAUUUAUAAAGGUGACUGUGGAGAGAGAGGAAGGGUCAAUGCUGUGGAGAGAGAAGGCCUUGUUACUCACAGAUCCUCUAGAAACAAUGGGCACAGCCCUCCCCACAGGGCCUCGGGGGAGGCACAGGGUCUGCAGGAGGCAGGAAGGAAGAGGAGAAGGCCCUGGCCACAGCCUUCAGUGGGGUUUUCUCAGGAGGCAGCUUAUCUUUGGCUAGUUUGAAUAAUUGCGGCAGACCCUCAGGCAUGGGGGCUGUCCCUAGUUGUCUGGUACCUGGUUCUGGAGAAUGCGGGCUUGGUGUGUGACAGAGGAGGCAGGAGGGGUGCGGGCUCGGGAAUGGUUGGUGUGCGUGUGAAAGGCAGACAGCCGAGCUCUAUGGCUCAUGCCUGUAGUCCUGGAUACUCAGGAGGCCAAGGCAGGAGAAUGGCUUGAGCCCAGGAGUUCAAGAACAGACUGGGCAACACAGUAAGAUCCUGUCUCAAAAAAAGAAAGGCGGGCCAGUGCUUCACAGCGGGGGCAGAGCCCACCAACCUUGGGGGCACACCAGGUAUGGCAGGAGAAUGGAACAUGGUCCCGGAUUUUGUACUUGGUGUGGACAGCAGGUGCCUCUGUCCAUUUCCCGUUGCUGUGAUGACAAAUUCCCA